rnacentral:rRNA from 1 species
CGGUGAGGCCUUCGGACUGGCCCAGGGAGGUCGGCAACGACCACCCAGGGCCGGAAAGUUGGUCAAACCCGGUCAUUUAGAGGAAGUAAAAGUCGUAACAAGGUCUCCGUAGGUGAACCUGCGGAGGGAUCAUUA